UCUAGAGGCUCAGCUGGGUUGGUCCUGGUUAGUAUUUAGAUGGGAGACCUCCUGGAGAUUCCUGAGGCUGCUGGCC
rnacentral:rRNA from 1 species